rnacentral:rRNA from 1 species
GACGAACGCUGGCGGCAUGCCUAAUACAUGCAAGUCGAGCGGAGUUGAUAGAAAGCUUGCUUUCUUGAUACUUAGCGGCGGACGGGUGAGUAACACGUAUGCAACCUGCACUCAAGCUUGGGACAACUACCGGAAACGGUAGCUAAUACCGAAUACUUGUGUUCUUUGCCUGAAGGAAAACGGAAAGACGGAGCAAUCUGUCACUUCGGGAUGGACCGUCUGCGCAUUAGCUAGUUGGUGAGGUAACGGCUCACCAAGGCGACGAUGCGUAGCCGACCUGAGAGGGUGAUCGGCCACACUGGGACUGAGACACGGCCCAGACUCCUACGGGAGGCAGCAGUAGGGAAUCUUCCGCAAUGGGCGAAAGCCUGACGGAGCAAUGCCGCGUGAGUGAUGAAGGUUUUCGGAUCGUAAAGCUCUGUUGCCAGGGAAGAACGCUUGGGAGAGUAACUGCUCCCAAGGUGACGGUACCUGAGAAGAAAGCCCCGGCUAACUACGUGCCAGCAGCCGCCGUAA